rnacentral:rRNA from 1 species
GACGAACGCUGGCGGCGUGCUUAACACAUGCAAGUCGAACGGAAAGGCCCUGCUUUUGUGUGGUGCUCGAGUGGCGAACGGGUGAGUAACACGUGAGUAACCUGCCCUUGACUUUGGGAUAACUUCAGGAAACUGGGGCUAAUACCGGAUAGGAGCUCCUGCUGCUUGGUGGGGGUUGGUAAGUUUCGGUGGUUGGGGAUGGACUCGCGGCUUAUCAGCUUGUUGGUGGGGUAGUGGCUUACCAAGGCUUUGAGGGGUAGUCGGCCUGGGAGGGUGACCGGCCACAUUGGAACUGAGAUACGACACAGACUCCAACUGGAGGCAGCGGUGGAGAAUAUUACACAGUGGGCGGAAGCAUGAUGCAGCAACGCCGCGUGCGGGAUGACGGCCUUCGGGUUGUAAACAGCUGUCGCCUGAGACGAAGCGUGAGUGACGGUAACGGGUAAAGAAGCACCGGCUAACUACGUG